AGUCUUUUGAGGCAAAGUUCUGUGACACUCAGACUCUGAUUAUGAUAGAAGUCAGUGCACUACAGAACUUUGUCUCCAGAGGCU
rnacentral:pre_miRNA from 1 species